rnacentral:rRNA from 1 species
UACUAACUCUGGCGGCGUGCUUAACACAUGCAAGUCGAACGGUGAAGCGCCUUCCUUUUUGGUGGGUGUGGAUGAGUGGCGAACGGGUGAGUAACACGUGAGUAACCUGCCCCCUUCUUCUGGAUAACCGCAUGAAAGUGUGGCUAAUACGGGAUAUUCUGGGUCUGUCGCAUGAUGGGUCUGGGAAAGAUAUUGUUUCGGUGGGGGAUGGGCUCGCGGCCUAUCAGCUUGUUGGUGGGGUGAUGGCCUACCAAGGCGGUGACGGGUAGCCGGCCUGAGAGGGUGGACGGUCACACUGGGACUGAGACACGGCCCAGACUCCUACGGGAGGCAGAAGUGGGGAAUAGUGCACAAUGGGCGCAAGCCUGAUGCAGCGACGCCGCGUGAGGGAUGGAGGCCUUCGGGUUGUGAACCUCUUUCGCCAGUGAAGCAGGCCUGCCUCGUUUGUGGGUGGGUUGACGGUAGCUGGAUAAGAAGCGCCGGCUAACUACGUG